UUUUAACUAAUACAAAAAAUCAGUACCUGUGAUUUAAGCUUAAAUAUAUUUUUUUAAUUUUCAAGUAAACAGCUGAUUAAAGCCACAUCAAACCGGGUUGUAUUAAAUUAUCAUAAAUAAUAGUUGCUAUAAGAAUAUUAAAUCAAGAAAAAUUUAUAUGUAUUCAAAAAAAUAUUUACAAAUAUAAAAUAAUUAUGAAUAGAUGGCUUCUGAUAAUAAGUUUGAUAUUAGUUAUAACAACAAUAGAAGGUACUUUGUCGCCACGUACUGAUAAAUCAAAAAAAGAUAAAGGAAGAACAGAGAUUAAGAAAGGACCGGUUGAUAAUAGUGUAUUCGACCGAGGUUUAGUUGUCCAAGAUCCUAAGAUUAGUGAUAUUGUCAAACAAGCUGGUCUUUAUUACAAAGACACCAAGAAAAGACAUUUUAAUAAUGAUGUAUUAGGAUAUAUAACUCCAUGGAAUGGUGAAGGACUUGAAAUAGCUAAGACCUUUCAUGGUAAAUUAACGCUUGUUUCUCCAGUAUGGUUCAAUUUACAAAGUUCUGAUAAGUUUCAAAUUGCCACGCAUGAUGUACAGAAGAAAUGGCUCAAAGAUAUAAAAACAGCUAAUGAAGGAAACCAUACUGUCAAAAUCUUACCCAGAGUUUUAUUUGAACAGUGGUCAGCGGGUGAUAUAUCUUCAUUGAACCGUGAUGUUCAGAAAAAAAAUCAACUAAUAACUUCGCUUGUUGAUUUAGCUCAGAAAUUUCAGUUUCAUGGAUAUGUAUUAGAAAUAUGGAAUCAAGUAAUUUACACAGGAGCUGAGUCAAAAGUUGUAGUCAAUGUAAUAAAAUCUUUGGCCAAAAGACUUAAAAGUAAACAAUUACAAGUAAUAUUAGCUAUUCCACCAGCUCAAGGACCACCGGGACAAAUAUUCUCACAAGGCCAAUUUGAAGAGUUGUCACCUCACAUUGAUUUCUUUUCAUUAAUGACCUAUGAUUUUUCAAAUGUCCAGCGACCUGGACCAAACAGUCCACUUGAAUGGGCACGAGAAUGCGUUGAAAAAUUAGUACCUGACGACGAUGAUCCAAAACGCUCUAAAAUAUUAAUGGGGCUAAACUUUUACGGAAAUAAUUACACACCUGAUGGUGGUGGUGCUAUUUUGGGAUCUGAGUACAUAAAAUAUCUCGAUUCUUACAAGGGUAAACUGCAGUGGGAUGAAAGAAGUAAAGAACAUCUGUUAGAAUAUCGAUCAUCAAAAGCCAGUGGUUAUAUAUUUUAUCCUACGCUCUAUUCCAUCCAACAAAGAAUAGACUUAGCCCGAGAAUUAGGAACUGGACUCUCAAUUUGGGAACUUGGCCAAGGUUUAAAUUACUUUUACGACCUAUUUUAAUGCGAUAAAACGGAAAAAUAAAAAACGAAUCCAAAAGCAUUACAUGAUACGAUUUCUGAUGAGAUUUGAGGCAAUACAUAAUCGUACAUUAAGAACGUCAUGCACAUGCGAUUAAAGUUCCAGUGGCCGGAUUUCUGGCGAGGUGAACGCGUUCCCCCAGGUGGUAUAUCUCUUUGGCGCUCACUCAUCGUACGACUAGAACUCUACGCAGAUACACCAGCAUAUAAUAACUCGUUUCUGACCAGUCACUCCAGCUCCACCAACUAAACCUCCACAUUCACUCAUCUACACACAUCCUAUCAAAACUGGAAUAAGACAAACUAGGCUAGAUGAAAGAUCACCAGCAGUGUCCUAGUGGUCGUCCUGUCCGGUUAUAUGUUUUAUUGCAAAUUAUGAUAUGUAUGAGUACAACUGAACGUGGCUGGGACAACAAAUAAGAAGGUAAUUGAAGCAUAGAGAGUAACAUAAGUACAGAAGGAAGCACGUGGCGAUACACACCAGCAAGAACCGAAAGCGUUCGAAUACAUCCGAGCAUUCGCCACCAGACACUAGACUACCACUACUUCCAUCAGCUACCACCUCUCAUUGAACAACAACUGCCGGACAAGUCGGAGUGUUUGCUGCUACCACCGUUGAUUCAACAUCGUUCAACAGAUACUUCUUACCCUAUUUCAAUCGGCCACCAACUCUCGUAGCAUCGAGUUCUUAACUAUCGUUACUCACGGAUGGACCAAAUAAUAGUUAUGAUUGAUUCCUCAUCCGACUUUUAAUUAUUUACCUAAGUGAUUUUAUUUUUAUUCAGUUCUACUA